rnacentral:rRNA from 1 species
CCUACGGGAGGCAGCAGUGGGGAAUAUUGCACAAUGGGGGAAACCCUGAUGCAGCAACGCCGCGUGAGUGAAGUAGUAUUUCGGUAUGUAAAGCUCUAUCAGCAGGGAAGAAGAAAGACGGUACCUGACUACGCCGCCCCGGCUAACUACGUGCCAGCAUCGGCGGUCAUCCGGAGGGGGCAAGCGUUAUCCGGAUUUCGUGGGUGUAACGGGAGCGUAGACGGCUGUGCAAGUCUGAAGUGAAAGCCCGUGGCUCAACGGCGGAACUGCUUUGGAAACUGUAGAGCUUGAGUGCGGAAGAGGCCGGCGGAAUUCCUAGUGUAGCGGUGAAAUGCGUAGAUAUUAGGAGGAACACCAGUGGCGAAGGCGGCCUGCUGGACAGAAACUGACGUUGAGGCUCGAAAGCGUGGGGAGCAAACAGGAUUAGAUACCCCGGUAGUC